rnacentral:rRNA from 1 species
AUUGAACGCUGGCGGCAUGCUUUACACAUGCAAGUCGAACGGCAGCACGGGGGCAACCCUGGUGGCGAGUGGCGAACGGGUGAGUAAUAUAUCGGAACGUACCCGGAAAUGGGGGAUAACGUAGCGAAAGUUACGCUAAUACCGCAUAUGCCCUAAGGGGGAAAGCGGGGGAUUCGCAAGAACCUCGCGUUUUCGGAGCGGCCGAUAUCGGAUUAGCUAGUAGGUGAGGUAAAGGCUCACCUAGGCGACGAUCCGUAGCUGGUCUGAGAGGACGACCAGCCACACUGGAACUGAGACACGGCCCAGACUCCUACGGGAGGCAGCAGUGGGGAAUUUUGGACAAUGGGCGAAAGCCUGAUCCAGCCAUGCCGCGUGAGUGAAGAAGGCCU